GCCGCUCAGAACUUAAGGAUGACGGGGCCGCACAAGCGAGGAGCAUGUGGUUAAUUCGAUGAUACGCGAGGAACCUUACCUGGGCUCGAACGUAAGAUGACUGUAGGUGAAAGCUUACAUCUCUUCGGAGCAUUUUACGAGGUGCUGCAUGGCUGUCGUCAGCUCGUGUCGUGAGAUGUUGGGUUAAGUCCCGCAACGAGCGCAACCCUUGCCUUUAGUUGCCAGCAGUUCGGCUGGGCACUCUAAAGGGACUGCCGGUGUUAAACCGGAGGAAGGUGGGGAUGACGUCAAGUCCUCAUGGCCUUUAUGACCAGGGCUACACACGUACUACAAUGGCCGAUACAAAGGGCAGCGACACUGCGAGGUGAAGCCAAUCCCGUAAAAUCGGUCUCAGUCCGGAUUGGAGUCUGCAACUCGACUCCAUGAAGUUGGAAUCGCUAGUAAUCGUGGAUCAGCAUGCCACGGUGAAUACGUUCCCGGGCCUU
rnacentral:rRNA from 1 species